rnacentral:rRNA from 1 species
GACGAACGCUGGCGGCGUGCUUAACACAUGCAAGUGGAGCGACGAACCGGGGCUUGCCCCGGGGGCAGAGCCGCGAAACGGGUGAGUAACACGUGGGUGUAUCUGCCCUGAUGAUCGGGACAACCCGUCGAAAGACGGGCUAAUACCGAAUGUGCCCGCAAGGGGAAAGGAGGCUUCGGCUUCCGCAUCGGGAUGAGCCCGCGGCCCAUUAGCUUGUUGGUGGGGUAAAGGCCUACCAAGGCGACGANGGGGUAGCUGGUCUGAGAGGACGAUCAGCCACACUGGGACUGAGACACGGCCCAGACUCCUACGGGAGGCAGCAGUGGGGAAUCUUGCGCAAUGCGCGAAAGCGUGACGCAGCAACGCCGCGUGCGGGAAGA